rnacentral:rRNA from 1 species
UACGUAGGGAGCGAGCGUUGUCCGGAUUUAUUGGGCGUAAAGAGCUCGUAGGCGGUUUGGUAAGUCGGGUGUGAAAGCUCCGGGCUCAACUCGGAGAGGUCACUCGAUACUGCCAUGACUGGAGUCGGUAGGGGGGUGUGGAAUUCCGAGUGUAGAGGUGAAAUUCGUAGAUAUUCGGAGGAACACCAGAAGCGAAGGCGGCUCACUGGCCCGAUACUGACGCUGAGGCGCGAAAGCGUGGGGAGCAAACAGG